rnacentral:misc_RNA from 1 species
UUUCCGUAGGUGAACCUGCGGAAGGAUCAUUAAAAAUAUCACAGUUUUGUGAUUUAAUAAUCAUCCUACCUUUGUGAAUUGUUUUGUAAGAAAAUUUAUGUGUCUAUCCCUGAUGGUUUUUGGAAAAGUUGAAAAACUUUUUCGAAUCCUCAGGACUAGGCUUUCAUAGACCUUUUUUAAAUUAAACUUUUUGUAUUCAUUUGUCUAAAUUUAUUUUUAAUAAUUUAAAAACAACUUUGACAAUGGAUCUCUUGGUUCUCGCAACGAUGAAGAACGCAGCAAAAUGCGAUAAGUAAUGUGAAUUGCAGAAUACGUGAUCAUCAAAUCUUCGAACGCAUAUUGCACUUUUCUAGUUUACUAGAAAGUAUGUCUGUUUGAGUAUCAGUAAAAUAUUCUCAUAAAAACAUUGUUUUUUAUGGUUAUGAGUGUUUUACAACGAUAAACAAGUUGUUUCACUUUAAAUUGAUUUUUAAAAGCCAAUUUGGUUUAUCUAAUAAAAUUGGAUAAAAUUUUCCCGUAAAAGGAAUAAACUUUUCAGUUUUAAAGAUAAAACUUUUAAUUGAGCCUAAUUAAAAGGAAAUUUAACUAAAUAACUUGAUCUCAAUCAGAUAAGAGUACCCGCUGAACUUAAGCAUAUCAAUAAGCGGAGGAAAAGAAACUAACAAGGAUUCCCUUAGUAACGGCGAGUGAAGCGGGAAGAGCUCAAAUUUGAAAUCUUCAAGGUUCUACCUUGACGAAUUGUAGUUUAUAGAAGUGUUUUCUGUUAGUGGAGUGGCAAAAGUUCUUUGGAAUAGGACAUCAUAGAGGUGAGAAUCCCGUAUUUGGUCAUUCCUCCUAGCGUUGUGAUACACUUUCAACGAGUCGGAUUGUUUGGGAAUGCAGUCCAAAAUGGGUGGUAAAUUUCAUCUAAAGCUAAAUAUUGGCGAGAGACCGAUAGCGAACAAGUACGUGAGGAAAGAUGAAAGAACUUUGAAAAGAGAGUUAAACAGUACGUGAAAUUGUCAAAAGGGAAGCGUUUGACACCAGUGUUGUUUUUCCGAAAUCAAUUACGAAUGUUUUGUUUUUGAGGAGUUAUGACUUCAUCGGCUUGCUCCUUCUUUACGAAACUUUCUUAAUGCACUUUUCGGUUAACAAGUCAACAUCAAUUUCUUUUGUUGUAAAAGGGUAUGAGGAAGGUGCUUUCUUUUCGGAGAAAGUGUUUAUAGCCUUGUGCCUCUGCAAUCGGAGAGAUUGAGGUCUGCAGCGUAGAUCCUUCGGGUUAGAUACGUUUGUGCUAAGUUAUAGCUUUCAUAGACAACUUGUUGACUAUGUUUAGUCUUGUAGCUUACUCGCUGACGCUAUUU